GGCCUGGUCCCAAGACUCCUGGAGAUGUACAAAAUGGCAACAAAGUCUGGGAAGAAGCAGUCACUCAAAGAUAUUCUGGACUGCCUUGAGAAAGAUGACACAAACGAGGGGAGAAGGGCUGCUGCUCUGCUUGGUCUGCCACACUACAUAUCAGGAGAAGAUCCAUCAGAUGUCAUCAGGAUGUGUGAUGCUCAUGUUGAGACUCUGGAUGAAGCCAUUCAUGAAAGGGAUGCAGCUUGGCCUUGUGAUAGGCUGUGAAGGUGGGAAAUAGGGUGCCAUUCCACAUGAGGUCUUCGAUGUGGCAGUUGUGGUGGAGGAGACCAUCGUGCUUGACAACGUUAAGGAUGUGGCACAAAGCUUUGCCAUGCUUAUGGGUGUCAUCCAUUGUGUCAAUCUCAAGUAUCCAGAUGCCAUGAAGUACUCCUUUGAGUUUAUUCAGAGAGUGGUGAUGAAGAUAAAACCAGACCAGGCCUCGGCUUGAGUACACGGCUUGAGAAACAGAAUCUGGUAGAGGUAUAGACUGUAACAUCUGCCAAGUUGGAAA